rnacentral:rRNA from 1 species
ACGUAGGGUGCGAGCGUUAGUCGGAAUUACUGGGCGUAAAGCGUGCGCAGGCGGUUCGCUAAGACGGGUGUGAAAUCCCCGGGCUUAACCUGGGAACUGCAUUUGUGACUGCACGACUGGAGUGCGGCAGAGGGGGAUGGAAUUCCGCGUGUAGCAGUGAAAUGCGUAGAUAUGCGGAGGAACAACGAUGGCGAAGGCAAUCCCCUGGGCCUGCACUGACGCUCAUGCACGAAAGCGUGGGGAGCAAACAG